UGGAAGCAAUUCAUCUGUGCAACUGGAAGGAGCGGACCAUGGGCCCACCCCUCCCUAAGGUCAUUUAAAGUCUGGCAGCCACCUUUGGUGUAUUCUGUGAGCCUUGAUCCUUGGUAAGGUGUAAGUGAUUCCUUCUUUAUUAUAGAAUUGUGACAUCUACCUUUCUUGGGUGAUCUGAAACUGGUUUAGAGCAGCUAUAUCCACCAUCGUAUAUCUUUACAACUUCCAACCACACCAAAUGAAAAUAAAUAAAUAAAUCAGAAACAUUUUGUAAACUAAUAACUAAUUUUAGCUUACAGAUGCUCAUAUCAAAACACAAAGAAAUAAAUCUAACUUCUUGCACAAAAUCAUGAUGAACAGAACUUACUACAGAAUGAUUUGAUGUGAUGUGGUGAGGCCUAUGUUUUCACAUUUCUGUCUGUUUAAAUCUGUGCUAUUUCUUUUUGCAGUACACUGGGAAUGAAAAGUUUAAAAAGCCAAACUUUUUUCAGAUUUCAUAUAUGAAUAAAAGUUGUGUAGCCAAAAGCUUGCAUGGAGUCUUCAGUGAUGCCUGUUGGUCUUAUGUCACCUGCUUCUUUUCCUUACUUGCUUUCUUUCUCAGGUUCCAUUCUACCAUUGCAGAAUACAAUCAUUACAAAGUUAGUGAUUUACUCUGCAAAAGUUAGUUGGAGGAAACACUAUGGAAUUAUUCUAAACAUAUGGAAAAGGUAGUUCACGACUCUGUCACAAACACUGGUCUGAGGCUACUUUCCUCUCCUAAAAUACUGAUAAGAGUGGAAUUCCUGAAACUGUUAUGUUCAGUACCAUAAGUGAUUAGGACUUCCUAUUACUACACCAUACUAAAAGAAAUGAUACUGUGCAGCAGAAAAACCUUAGGGAUAUACUUGUUAAAAACAAUAAUCUUUUUCACAGAAUAUUCUUCUUUCCUGAGUUCUAUGAACAUAUAACACUAUGUUUCUAGGCAAUUUUUAACAUCCCUUUCUGCCAUUCCAUGAUGGUGGUGCAGUGGUUAUUUUUUUAAUAACUACUUUUUCUUUUCCCAGAAUUUUUUGUGAACUAAAGGCUCCUGGGAUUAAAAGGAAUAAUUUGAUGUAAGGCUUGCCACUAUUGUAGAAAAAUAGGCCUUUCUGUUCCCUAAAAUCAAACACUCUCCAAGUCUGCAUUUCUGCUAACGGUGGUUCCCAGUAGCAGUAUGUUGGCCAGCUGCUCUCUGCUUGCAGAAGUUAUGGUUAAUUGCACCCAGGCUCACUCUGACAGAGAACAUCUAAAUAAUUCUGCUAUUAGCGGUAAUAAGCAGAUGAAAAAACCAUCAAACAAAUCUCCUAAUUUAACGACAGAAAAUUACUUACAUACAAAUGGAGAGCUGAGUUCUCAAUAGAAAAUUCAAGUUCUCUGACAUAUUUCUCCAAAUAAAUAAAUAAGGUAAAUUUAUUGUAUGCUUAUGAUAACAGCUUUCAUUAAACUAUGCUUCUUAUCCUGUUUACGAGGGUGGGUAGUGAUAGGACAAGGAGGAAUGCUUUUAAACUGAGAUGGAGAGGUUUAGGUUAGAUGUUAGGAGGAAUUUUUUCACGCAGAGGGUGGUGACACACUGGAACAGGUUACACAAGGAGGUUGUGGAUGCCCAAUCCCUGAAGGCAUUCAAGACCAGACUGGAUGUAGCUCUGGACAGCCUGGUCUAGUGGCUGGCAACCCUGCACAUUAGCAGGGGGGUUGAAACUAGGUGAUCAUUGUGGUCCCUUUCAACCCAGGCCAUUGUUUGAUUCUAUGAUUCUAUGAUCCCGUUACAUGAAGAUUUCCAAGAAAUUCCUGUAGCAUGAUAGUUUCUCCCUGGUGUGGAUGUGUGGGAAAGCCUUGAAAAGGUCAGUCUGCAUACACCCCAUUCAUAUAUUUGCUACUGGUGAGGAGACAAAAUUUUGAGUUUUGAUCUAUGUUGGAUGUGGAACCAUAAGCUGAGUGGGCUAUGCAUGAGAGGAAGAGGGGAAAGAUGUUGGUUUUUAUUUUUCCCCUUUACUACAGCAGACCUGUGCUCAAGUCACUCAAAGAUGAGUAAAAUGAAACACCAGCUCCAACAUGACAGCCCUGGCUGAUAGUGCCAAACACUGCACUGCUCCAGGUAAUGACUUGGCUUACUAUC
ensembl:lncRNA